rnacentral:rRNA from 1 species
GAUGAACGCUGGCGGCGUGCCUAAUACAUGCAAGUCGAGCGAACAGACGAGGAGCUUGCUCCUCUGACGUUAGCGGCGGACGGGUGAGUAACACGUGGAUAACCUACCUAUAAGACUGGGAUAACUUCGGGAAACCGGAGCUAAUACCGGAUAAUAUAUUGAACCGCAUGGUUCAAUAGUGAAAGACGGUUUUGCUGUCACUUAUAGAUGGAUCCGCGCCGCAUUAGCUAGUUGGUAAGGUAACGGCUUACCAAGGCAACGAUGCGUAGCCGACCUGAGAGGGUGAUCGGCCGCACUGGAACUGAGACACGGUCCAGACUCCUACGGGAGGCAGCAGUAGGGAAUCUUCCGCAAUGGGCGAAAGCCUGACGGAGCAACGCCGCGUGAGUGAUGAAGGUCUUCGGAUCGUAAAACUCUGUUAUUAGGGAAGGACAAAUGUGUAAGUAACUAUGCACGUCUUGACGGUACCUAAUCAGAAAGCCACGGCUAACUACGUG